rnacentral:lncRNA from 1 species
CCUCUGUCAUGUGGCUGGCAGGCAGUGCUGGCCACUGGUUGGGAGCUCAGCGAGGAUCUUGGACAGGGUCCUUGACUCUCCUCCCCGCAGGCUUUUCCACAUGCCUGCUUGGGCUUUCUCAUGGCGUGGUGGUUGAAUUUUUUAAGAAGGAAUAUUCCAAAGGAUGAGCUCCUAUGUGCAAAUGUUCACCAAACCUCCGUUUGCAUCACUUUUGGCCAAAGCUUGUCCCAGAGCCAGCAUGGUUCACUGGAGCUACCGAAGAACAGCCUUCUGCAGAUAGGGACUACUGCUCUCCCCAUUUUACAGCAGCCUUGGAGAAUUUCAGGGGGAGGAAGUGUCCCACAUUUGCAAACUUCCCAUUAUGGAGCAAGACCUUCAAGGAGGCCAUAGGGUAAGAAAUAAAGGUGCCUUCCUUCCCCUCCUUUUCCUUGGGCCACUGAAGAUAGAAAGUGAGGAACCCUCCCCUUGCCUUAAAGCCCCCAUCUCAGGGUUCAAUGCUCAGCUGACACUAUAUAACGAGCUCAUCCUGGGUGCUGCUUCUCCCCUCGUGUACUUCUGACCACUUACCACCAUGACUCAACUUCCAGGGACCAACAGCAGCUCUGUCCUGCCUGGUCAGCAAAGCACAAGCCUGAGUUUCCA